CCUACGGGAGGCAGCAGUGAGGAAUAUUGGUCAAUGGGCGUAAGCCUGAACCAGCCAAGUCGCGUGAGGGAUGAAGGUUCUAUGGAUCGUAAACCUCUUUUAUAAGGGAAUAAAGUGCGGGACGUGUCCCGUUUUGUAUGUACCUUAUGAAUAAGGAUCGGCUAACUCCGUGCCAGCAGCCGCGGUAAUACGGAGGAUCCGAGCGUUAUCCGGAUUUAUUGGGUUUAAAGGGUGCGUAGGCGGCCUUUUAAGUCAGCGGUGAAAGUCUGUGGCUCAACCAUAGAAUUGCCGUUGAAACUGGGAGGCUUGAGUAUGUUUGAGGCAGGCGGAAUGCGUGGUGUAGCAGUGAAAUGCUUAGAUAUCACGCAGAACCCCGAUUGCGAAGGCAGCCUACCAAGCCAUGACUGACGCUGAUGCGCGAAAGCGUGGGGAUCAAACAGGAUUAGAUACCCGGGUAGUC
rnacentral:rRNA from 1 species